GAUGAACGCUGGCGGCGUGCCUAAUACAUGCAAGUCGAGCGAACAGACGAGGAGCUUGCUCCUCUGACGUUAGCGGCGGACGGGUGAGUAACACGUGGAUAACCUACCUAUAAGACUGGGAUAACUUCGGGAAACCGGAGCUAAUACCGGAUAAUAUAUUGAACCGCAUGGUUCAAUAGUGAAAGACGGUUUUGCUGUCACUUAUAGAUGGAUCCGCGCCGCAUUAGCUAGUUGGUAAGGUAAAGGCUUACCAAGGCAACGAUGCGUAGCCGACCUGAGAGGGUGAUCGCCCACACUGGAACUGAGACACGUCCCCGACUCCGACGGGAGGCAGCAGUAGAGAAUCUUCCGCGAUGGGCGAAAGCCUGACGGAGCAACGCCGCGUGAGUGAUGAAGGUCUUCGGAUCGUAAAACUCUGUUAUUAGGGAAGAACAAAUGUGUAAGUAACUAUGCACGUCUUGACGGUACCUAAUCAGAAAGCCACGGCUAACUACGUG
rnacentral:rRNA from 1 species